CUUGUCAUUGAAGUAUACGUUUUCGAUCAAUAACAAUGUGCGACUUUUUACAAGUUGUGCAAUUGGAAUGACUACAAUCUAAAGAGUUUAAGGAGGAUCAAUUGGGUGCAAGUCCGGUGCCAGCAGCCGCGGUAAUUCCAGCUCCAAUAGGAUAUAUCAAAGUUGUUGCAGUUAAAAAGCUCGUAGUUGAAGUUUUGGAGAGUAGUCUUUGUCUUUUCCGGCUUGGGGAGCAAUCCUCUUCGGGAAGGGCACUCUCUCCACAUUGUGGACCAUCCCUAUUUGUUUUUGCGAUUUUUUUCGCGAAAGCAUAAAGGGCCACUCCGUCACUGAGGGCAAAUUGGAGUGCUCAGAGCAGGCUUUACAGCUUUGAACAUAUUAGCUUGGAAUGACAAGAUACGACUCUGGUCGGUUUAUUUUGUUGGUUAUUUAGACUAGAGUAAUGAUUAACAGGAACAGUAGCGGUGGUACUCGUAUUGAAAGGUCAGAGGUGAAAUUCUUGGAUUCUUUCAAGACGAACGACUGCGAAAGCAUUUACCAAGGAUGUUUUCAUUAAUCAAGAACGAAAGCUUGGGGAUCGAAGAUGAUUAGAUACCAUCGUAGUCCAACGCCAUAAACGAUGCCGACUCGGGAUUGGUAGGUGUUCUUUUUAAAACAUGAACCCUAUCAGCACCGUAUGAGAAAUCAAAGUCUUUGGGUUCCGGGGGGAGUAUAGUCGCAAGGAAGAAACUUAAAGGAAUUGACGGAAGGGCACACCAGAGGUGGAGCCUGCGGUUUAAUUUGACUCGACACGGGGAAACUUACCAGGUCCAGACAUGAUGAGGAUUGACAGUUUGAAAGCACUUUCUUGAUUUCAUGGGUGGUGGUGCAUGGCCGUUCUUAGUUGGUGGAGUGAUUUGUCUGGUUGAUUCCGAUAACGAACGAGACGGGGGGAGUUUACUAGUUUUGCAUAAUCUAAUUCGCGUUAGAUGGAACUUCUUUACUCGACAACUCGGUUUUACCGAGAGGAAGCGCCCCGCAAUAACAGGUCUGUGAUGCCCUUAGAUGUUCUGGGCUACACGCGCGCUACAAUGACGAGUUCAACGAGUUUUUUAUUCCUUGUCCGGAAGGAUGUGGGUAAUCUUUUCAAUGCUCGUCGUGAUGGGGCUAGAUUUUUGCAAUUAUUAAUCUUCAACGAGGAAUCUCUAGUAUGUGCAGUUCAUCAGACUGCGAAGAAUGCGUCCCUGCCCUUUGUACACACCGCCCGUCGCACCUACCGAUUGGACGAUCCGGCAAGAUGUUUGGAGUGUUGUGUUUGUGAUGUAAAAGUCGUGAACAUGACGCAAAGCUCUU
rnacentral:rRNA from 1 species